rnacentral:rRNA from 1 species
AAUGAACGCGGGCGGCGUGGUUAAGACAUGCAAGUCGAACGGUUUUUUAGGUGUAGCGAUACACUUGAAAAGCAGUGGCGAACGGGUGCGUAACACGUGAACAAUCUACCUUUUAGUGUGGAAUAGCUCGGCGAAAGCCGGAUUAAUACCGCAUGUGGUUGCUGCUCGCAUGAGUGGCAUACUAAAGUCAGGGACCGCAAGGCCUGACGCUAUUAGAGGAGUUCGCGGCCUAUCAGCUAGUUGGCGAGGUAACGGCUCACCAAGGCUAAGACGGGUAGCUGAUCUGAGACGAGGAUCAGCAACACUGGAACUGAGACACGAUGCAGACACCUACGGGUGGCAGCAGUUUCGAAUCAUACACAAUGAGCGAAAGCCUGAUGGUGCGACGCCGCGUGAGGGAUGAAGGUCUUCGGAUUGUAAACCUCUGUCACCGGGGAAGAAACGCUUCAAGUGAACAGCUUGAAGCCUGACUUAACCCGGAGAGGAAGCAGUGGCUAACUCUGUGCCAGCCGCCGCCGUAACAC